CCAAUAGCGUAUAUUAAAGUUGUUGCAGUUAAAAAGCUCGUAGUUGAAUUUCGGGAUCAAUCUAUCGGUCGUGCAAUAGUACGUACUGAUUUUAUUGAUUCCUCCCUUCUGAUGAACUAUGAUGUCAUUAAUUUGGUGUCAUAGGGAAUCAGGACUGUUACUUUGAAAAAAUUAGAGUGUUUAAAGCAGGCUCACGCUUGAAUACAUUAGCAUGGAAUAACGAAAUAGGACGUUUGAUUCUAUUUUGUUGGUUUCUAGGAUCGACGUAAUGAUUAAUAGGGAUAGUUGGGGGCAUUAGUAUUCAAUUGUCAGAGGUGAAAUUCUUGGAUUUAUUGAAGACUAACUACUGCGAAAGCAUUUGCCAAGGAUGUUUUCAUUAAUCAAGAACGAAAGUUAGGGGGUCGAAGACGAUCAGAUACCGUCGUAGUCUUAACCAUAAACUAUGCCGACUAGGGAUCGGAUGAUGUUAAUUUUUUAAUGACUCAUUCGGCGCCUUACG
rnacentral:rRNA from 1 species